CCUUUGACGUUAGCGGCGGACGGGUGAGUAACACGUGGGUAACCUACCUAUAAGACUGGGAUAACUUCGGGAAACCGGAGCUAAUACCGGAUAAUAUUUCAACCGCAUGGUUCGAUAGUGAAAGAUGGUUUCGCUAUCACUUAUAGAUGGACCCGCGCCGUAUUAGCUAGUUGGUAAGGUAACGGCUUACCAAGGCGACGAUACGUAGCCGACCUGAGAGGGUGAUCGGCCACACUGGAACUUAGACACGGUCCAGACUCCUACGGGAGGCAGCAGCC
rnacentral:rRNA from 1 species